rnacentral:lncRNA from 10 species
CAGCGGAGCAGGCACCUACGUGAUCCAAGGCGGCUACAUGCUGGGCAGUGCCAGCCAGUCUUACUCUCACACCACCCGUGCCUCGCCAGCCACGGUCCAGUGGCUCCUGGACAACUAUGAGACGGCUGAGGGCGUGAGUCUGCCACGGAGCACCCUCUACUGCCACUACUUACUGCACUGCCAGGAGCAGAAGCUGGAACCCGCCGUCUGGGCACCAGGGGCAACUCCAAGUACCACUACUAUGGCCUGCGCAUCAAGGCCAGCUCACCCCUGCUGCGGCUGAUGGAGGACCAGCAGCACAUGGCCAUGCGGGGCCAGCCCUUCUCGCAGAAGCAGAGGCUCAAGCCCAUCCAGAAGAUGGAAGGCAUGACCAACGGCGUGGCGGUGGGGCAGCAGCCGAGCACGGGGCUGUCGGACAUCAGCGCCCAGG